GCUAUGACGUUUGUGUCUAACACUCACGUCACGCCAUAAUAGAAUUUUACCACAUUAUGACGGAUCAAGCACGUAUGGCUAGCUAGCAUUUAUAUACAUACUAUACUCAUAAACAUCCAAAAUAUAUAUUCACCGAAAAUCUCAUUUUCGGGAACUCUCCAAAAGAGGAAAAUUGUCAAAUAUCCGAGAAAGAAAUAAAUCUCAGUAGAAUAAAUAAAUGAUUAACAAAAUAAUUCAUCGCAUGUUUUCCAAGUAAAACAAAGGUCCACUCACAAAUUAGGCCUAAGCCUGAUGUCGCUCCGAGGCUUCUUCUGCUCGGGUCUCCUCUCGUCCUGUUCCAAAUAUAAUAUUAAUUUCCCAACCAAAAAUCCAAAACUUACACAAAAUAGGCAUAAUUAAAUGUGAGCCUUAAUCACACUUAUCCCUGCCCAACUUCGCCAUUCUUAACUCAAUAGGGUCCAAACUUCACCGAACAUACUGGCAGCUUUAAUUCAACUUUUUACCGAUUAUAUGACUUUAAUCCAACGGCCGGAUUCUACCUUAAAUAACCGCCUAAGUUACUAACACUAUGCCAUUUCCUACAUCAGGCAACACCUAUUAGGUGACACACGCGAAAUUAAGUGUGGUCCGGGUUUCGGGGUGACACAUUUUUUUUAUGUGUUGGUGGAAGUGCACUCAGACAAUACCAGUUUUCUUUGAAAAAAAGGUCUGUUUUCAGGGCGACACAUAUAUGCCGGUGAAGAAAGUGGUCAGCUUUAGUCUCAAUUGUCUAAAUUUUACUCAUGUUAAGCCGAAGACAUUUAUGUGUCGGUUGAUAUUGAAUUUUGUUGAAUUGACAACUUGUGUGAAAAUUUUACUUCAUUAUGUUGAUACAACGACAUUUAUGUGUCGGCUAAUAUUGAAUUUUGUUGAAUUGACAACUUGUGUGAAAAUUUUACUUCAUUAUGUUGAUAAGACGACAUUUAUGUGUCGGCUGAUAUUGAAUUUUGUUGAAUUGAUAACUUGUGUGAAAAUUUUACUUCAUUAUGUUGAUAAGACGACAUUUAUGUGUCGGCUGAUAUCGAAUUUUGUUGAAUUGACAACUUGUGUGAAAAUUUUACUUUAUUAUGUUGAUAACACGACAUUUAUGUGUUGGCUGAUAUUGAAU
rnacentral:lncRNA from 1 species